rnacentral:lncRNA from 1 species
CCACACUGUUUUUCAGUAUCGUUGACUGACAGUAUCGUUUCAACCUUAUUUCGCAAUUAUUCCAAUAAAAGGAAGUCGUGAAAAGUAGUCAAUCUUGUGGAGAAUUGAUUGAUAAAUUGGAUACACUUAUAGUUUCAGUGCUGAGACUCCUAAUCAGCUAGUAAUAUCAAAUAGAACAUCAAAUUCGAGGAAAUGGGUGAAGAAUACGUUUUAUGUAAGUGUGAACGUAUAUUAUUUUUGGUAUAUCUCUGUGGGAUUUCUGUGCUCAAAAUGAGUCGCAAAAAUGAGGAAUUUAUUGUAUUAAUUUUAAUAUUUAAUUAUAAUUCUAUCGUUGAAAAUAUUAACUAGCCGGUUAUAUAUAUAUAUUUCCCAGACGAUCAGACCAUACUCCCCUCUUGGAGGAUCGAGCUUUUGUUUGGCUCCCACCUUUUUCACACCGCUUGAAAGGAUCCCUAAUAGUGCAUGCGAUACAUUUUUCAAAUUUUUCAAUAUCAUCAGUUAAUAUACAUGUCUCUUUUAAUAAUUGACAUACAUUUACAUACUGAAG